rnacentral:rRNA from 1 species
UACGAACCGUGCGAACGUUAUUCGGAAUCACUGGGCUUAAAGAGCGCGUAGGCGGAUUGUUACGUCGGCUGCUGAAAUCCCCCGGCUCAACCGGGGAAGUGGCACCGAUACGGGCAGUCUCGAGGGACGUAGGGGGACCUGGAACUUCCGGUGGAGCGGUGAAAUGCGUUGAGAUCGGAAGGAACGCCCGUGGCGAAAGCGAGGUCCUGGACGUCUUCUGACGCUGAGGCGCGAAAGCUAGGGGAGCGAACGGG